GAGUUUGAUCCUGGCUCAGAAUGAACGUUGGCGGCGUGGAUUAGGCAUGCAAGUCGAGCAAGAACCGUAGCAAUACGGGGACAGCGGCGAACGGGAGAGUAACGAGUGGAGAACCUACCCUGAGACCCGGGAUAGCCGUGGGAAACCGCGGGUAAUACCGGAUAACGUCUUCGGACCAAAGGUGUGAUUCCGUCUGAGGAUGGCUCUGCUUCCUAUUAGCUAGUUGGCGAGGUAACGGCUCACCAAGGCAACGAUGGGUACCGGGUGUGAGAGCAUGACCCGGCUCUCUGGGACUGAGACACUGCCCAGACACCUACGGGUGGCUGCAGUCGAGAAUCUUCGGCAAUGGGCGCAAGCCCGACCGAGCGACGCCGCGUGCGGGAUGAAGGCCUUCGGGUUGUAAACCGCUGUCGGAGGGGAUGAAAUGCCGGGUGGUAAUCCAUUCGGUUUGACAUAUCCUCGGAGGAAGGACGGGCUAAGUUCGUGCCAGCAGCCGCGGUAAGACGAACCGUCCGAACGUUAUUCGGAAUCACUGGGCUUAAAGGGUGCGUAGGCGGCCCGGAAAGUUGGGUGUGAAAUCCCUCGGCUCAACCGAGGAACUGCAUUCAAAACUACCGGGCUCGAGGAAGAUAGAGGUGAGCGGAACUCAGGGUGGAGCGGUGGAAUGCGUUGAUAUUCUGGGGAACACCAGUUGCGAAGGCGGCUCACUGGGUCUUUUCUGACGCUGAGGCACGAAAGCUAGGGGAGCGAAGAGGAUUAGAUACCCUCGUAGUCCUAGCUGUAAACGUUGAGCACUAGAUCGAAGGGCUUCGGUCCUUCGGUCGUAGCGA
rnacentral:rRNA from 1 species